GUCUUUUUGAAAAUAAUUUAAAGUCUAAUCUGCCCACUGAUAAAUAUAUUAAAGGGCUGCAGUAUUUUGACUGUACAAAGGUAGCAUAAUCAUUAGUCUCUUAAUUGGUGACUUGUAUGAAAGAUUGGAUGAAAUAUAAACUGUCUCUAAUUAAUUUAUAAAAUUUAAUUUUUUAGUAAAAAAGCUAAAAUAAUUUUAAAAGACGAGAAGACCCUAUAGAGUUUUAUAAUUUGUUUAAUUAUUAUUAAUAUGUAAAUUUUAAAAUUAAAAUUAAAUAAAUUAUUUUGUUGGGGUGACAGAAAAAUUAAAUUAACUUUUUUAGAUAAUUAACAUUAAUUUAUGAAUAAAUGAUCCAUUAAUAUUGAUUAAAAGAAAAAAUUACCUUAGGGAUAACAGCGUAAUUUUUUUUUUUAGUUCAAAUAGGAAAAAAAGUUUGCGACCUCGAUGUUGGAUUAAGAUAAAAUUUAAAUGCAAAAGUUUAAAAUUUUGAUCUG
rnacentral:rRNA from 1 species